UGAAUACGAGAUGCUACGGCGUCGAAGCAGUCUAUGUCAUACUUCCAAGAAAAGCUUGCACUGUCAUAAACAAAUAAUGCCUGUACCAUAACCGACACAGGUGGGUAGGUAGAGUAUACUAAGGGGCGCGAGAUAACUCUCUCUAAGGAACUCGGCAAAAUGACUCCGUAACUUCGGGAGAAGGAGUGCCUUAUUUAUAAGGUUGCAAUAACAAGAUCCAAGCAACUGUUUACCAAAAACACAGGUCUCCGCUAAGUCGUAAGACGAUGUAUGGGGGCUGACGCCUGCCCAGUGCCAGAAGGUUAAAGAAGUUGGUUAGCAUCCGCGAAGCUGAUAACUGAAGCCCUGGUGAACGGCGGCCGUAACGAUAACGGUCCUAAGGUAGCGAAAUUCCUUGUCGGGUAAGUUCCGACCCGCACGAAAGGCGUAAUGAUUUGGAUACUGUCUCGGAGAGGGGCUCGGUGAAAUAGACUUGUCUGUGAAGAUGCGGACUACCUGCACCAGGACAGAAAGACCCUAUGAAGCUUUACUGUAACCUGAAAUUGAAAUUGGACUUUACUUGCGCAGUAUAGGUGGGAGGCGUUGAGAAUAUUCUUGCGGGAUUAUUGGAGCCAUCAGUGAGAUACCACUCUUGUAAUGUUAGAUUUCUAACUUUGUAUCAUUAUCUGGUCAAAGAACAGUUUCAGGCGGGCAGUUUGACUGGGGCGGUCGCCUCCUAAACGGUAACGGAGGCGCACAAAGGUUUCCUCUGAACGGGUAGAAAUCGUAUCUAGAGUGUAAAGGCAUAAGGAAGCUUGACUGUGAGACCUACAAGUCGAGCAGGGACGAAAGUCGGUCUUAGUGAUCUGACGGUGCUGAGUGGAAAGGCCGUCACUCAACGGAUAAAAGUUACUCUAAGGAUAACAGGCUGAUCUCCCCCAAGAGUUCACAUCGACGGGGAGGUUUGGCACCUCGAUGUCGGCUCAUCGCAUCCUGGGGCGGUAGUACGUCCCAAGGGUUGGGCUGUUCGCCCAUGAAAGCGGUACGCGAGCUGGGUUCAGAACGUCGUGAGACAGUUCGGUCCAUAUCCGGUGUAGGCGUUAGAAUAUUGAGAGGAGCCUUCUUUAGUACGAGAGGACCGAGAAGGACAUACCUCUGGUGUACCAGUUAUCGUGCCAACGGUAAACGCUGGGUAGCUAUGUGUGGAGUGGAUAACCGCUGAAAGCAUCUAAGUGGGAAGCCCACCUCAAGAUAAGUAUUCCC
rnacentral:rRNA from 1 species